AACAGUACGGGUCAGUAGAAAAUACAGUAGCAAUAAUAAUGAAUGAAAGAGACAUGUAUAUGAAAGAAAGUACAACUACCGCUACUGUAAUGAACAACUGAAUGUAUACAUGUAACAAGACUAUAGUAGCAAGACAAUGUAACGAAAGAACUGAAGAUAUACAAGCGACAACUGCUACUAUAGUUAUAUGCGUCAACCAGACGAUAAGUCCAAAUAUACCCAAUCUGAUGCAGCUAUAUUGGUCUGCAGACCUCAAGCGUUGCCUGUCACAGAGCAGACACUGAGAGCUUAUUCAUGCGUCACCGACGACCUAUCCGGAUACGUACACCUCUUGUUGGUGGCCAAACCAACCUGGUGUCUAGAAUACACAGUGCUGUGACUAAAUCAUGCUGAUAUGCUCAAACGAAAUCCGGCUAAAGCCGGUGCCUAGGCCGAAGCCAGAAACAAGGGCGUACAACGCCAAACCACGAUCAACCAGAUCGAAACACAUGACAAGAGAGUCGAUGUGUUGCCUGGACCCAAGGUCCACAGAGUCCAACUGACCAACAAGGUCCCUGAUACGAAGUACGAGAACCGACCAACCAGGUCAACAGAUACGGAAUGCAACAACCAACCAACUAGAUCAACAGAUACGGAAUGCAACAACCGACCAACUAGGUCAACAGAUACGGAAUGCAACAACCGACCAACUAGGUCAACAGAUACGGAAUGCAACUACAGACCAACUAGGUCAACAGAUACGCAUGUAGAUAGAACUACUCUACUCCUACUCAGGAUACUAAGCAUGCAAACAACGAGUAGAGUAUAACGAAUAAACAAGGGUGCAAGGCUCAAUAUACUAUGCGAUAGUAACAACAGAAGAGUAAGGGUAAGAAACCAUCACCAAGCGUGCACCACUGUACCGACGUCGGAUCGAAGUACCCACCUGUAAGGAUG
rnacentral:lncRNA from 1 species